CCCUUAGAUGUUCUGGGCCGCACGCGUGCUACACUGAACGGUUCAAUGGGUAAGGUAGUGCGAAAGCAUGACCUAAUCUCGAAAUCCGUUCGUGCUGGGGAUAGAAGCUUGCAAUUAUCCUUCUUGAACGAGGUAUACCUUGUAAGCGUGAGUCAUCAUCUCACGCUGAAUACGUCCCUGCCCUUUGUACACACCGCCCGUCGCUCCUACCGAUUGAGUGUUCCGGUGAGGCUUUGGGAGAAUGGCCUCAACAUGAGUUUAUCGUGUUUUGCCGUUUGAACUUAGUCAAACCUUAUCACUUAGAGGAAGGAGAAGUCGUAACA
rnacentral:rRNA from 1 species